UACGGGGGGGGCCAGCGUUGUUCGGAAUUACUGGGCGUAAAGGGCUCGUAGGCGGCCAACUAAGUCGGAUGUGAAAUCCCCAGGCUUAACCUGGGAACUGCAUCCGAUACUGGAUGGCUUGAAUUCGGGAGAGGGAUGCAGAAUUCCAGGUGUAGCGGUGAAAUGCGUAGAUAUCUGGAGGAAUACCGGUGGCGAAGGCGGCAUCCUGGACCGAGAUUGACGCUGAUGAGCGAAAGCUAGGGGAGCAAACGGG
rnacentral:rRNA from 1 species